rnacentral:rRNA from 1 species
GAUGAACGCUGGCGGCGUGCCUAAUACAUGCAAGUCGAGCGAACUGAUUAGAAGCUUGCUUCUAUGACGUUAGCGGCGGACGGGUGAGUAACACGUGGGCAACCUGCCUGUAAGACUGGGAUAACUUCGGGAAACCGAAGCUAAUACCGGAUAGGAUCUUCUCCUUCAUGGGAGAUGAUUGAAAGAUGGUUUCGGCUAUCACUUACAGAUGGGCCCGCGGUGCAUUAGCUAGUUGGUGAGGUAACGGCUCACCAAGGCAACGAUGCAUAGCCGACCUGAGAGGGUGAUCGGCCACACUGGGACUGAGACACGGCCCAGACUCCUACGGGAGGCAGCAGUAGGGAAUCUUCCGCAAUGGACGAAAGUCUGACGGAGCAACGCCGCGUGAGUGAUGAAGGCUUUCGGGUCGUAAAACUCUGUUGUUAGGGAAGAACAAGUACGAGAGUAACUGCUCGUACCUUGACGGUACCUAACCAGAAAGCCACGGCUAACUACGUGCCAGCAGCCGCGGUAAUACCGUAGGUGGCAAGCGUUAUCCGGAAUUAUUGGGCGUAAAGCGCGCGC